AUUUAUUUACUUCAAGAGUUAAGAGUGGCGGUUUGGGGAUAGCACGAGGAGAUAUCAGCUGUGAUGGCUUGGAGAAACAGUGUAAACCGGCAGUGUAAACAAGAGCAGGGCAUGUAUGAGUAGUUGAGAACGGAGAAUAGGAGUAUGACUAGACAGAAGAUAGUAGGGAUGACAAGUUUUUUUUGGGGCACACUCUAAGUUGGUCCGGUGUUUGGAAUGAGACUGGGGCCUAAUAAAAAGGAGCAUCUAUACAGGAGCCCAAAUGGGCUGUACCUUGUAGCAUUCUGAGGACGGGUCUGACUUCUGAGAAGGGAAAGUGGUAAAAGUAUUGUCCAGUUCUUUUUAAGUUGGUGGCUGAGCUUGGUGAGGUGUGUUUUUGAAAGACCUUUAGUCCGUUCUACUUUUCUUGAAGACAGACGACUAUAAGGGAUAUAAAGGUUUCACUGAAUACUAAGAGCCUGAAAAACUGCUUGGCUGAUUUGACUAAUAAAGGUUGGUCUGUUAUCAGACUGUAUAGAGGUGGGAAGGCUAAACUGAGGGAUUAUGUCUGACAGAAGGGAAGAAAUGACUGCAGUGGCCUUCUCAGACCCUGUAGGAAAGGCCUCUACCUAUCUAGUGAAAGUGUCUACUUAGACUAAGAGGUAUUUUAGUUUUUGUGACUCAGGGCAUGUUGAGUAAAGCUAAUUUGCCAGUUCCGGGGGCGGGGGCAGGGGGCAAAUCCUCAAGUUUGAUGUGUAGGGAAGGGAGGGGUCCUGAAUAAUCCUUGAGGAGUAGUAGAAUAGCAGAUAGAAUAGCAGAUGGAACACUGAGAAAUUAUUUCCUUGAGGAUAGAUUUCUACAAUGGAAAGGAAAUGAGAGGUUCUAAGAGGCGGGCUAGUGGCUUGUACUAUAGCAUAGCCUGCCUUUGCUGGUGUGUGGCGAUUAGGCCUGGUGGAACUGCCAUCAAUAAAUCAAGCGUGAUCAGGGUGAGGAACAGGAAAGAAGGAAAUAUGGGGAAAUGUGGUGAAUGUCAGGUGGAUCAGAGACAUACAGUCAUGGGGGUCAGGUGUGGUAUCAGGAAUAAUGUGGGAGGCCAGAUUGAAGUCUGGGCCAGGAACAAUGGUAAUUGUGGGACUUAACAAAGAGUGAGUACAGCUGAAGGAGCCGGGGAGCAGAAAGUAUAUGCAUCAGGUAUGAGGAAGAAAAUAGAUUUUGGAAGUUAUGAGAAAUGUAGAGAGUAAGUUGAGCAUAGUUUAUGAUUUUUAGGGCCUCUAAAAGUAUUAGGGUGGCAGCAGCCGCUGCACGGAGACAUGAGGGCUAGGCUAAAACAGUAAGGUCAAGUUGUUUGGACAGAAAGGCUACAGGGUGCGGUCCUGGCUCUUGUGUAAGAAUUCUGACCACACUAACCAUGCCUAGGAAGGAAAGGAGUUGUUGUUUUGUAAGGGAUUGAGGUUGGGGAGAUUAAUUGGACACGAUCAGCAGGGAGAGCACCUGUGUUUUUAUGAGAAUUAUGCUGAGAUAGGUAACAGAUGAGGGUGAAAUUUGGGCUUGACUGAAGUAAUGGGGGCUGUCUGUGAAGCCUUGCGGCAGUACAGCCCAGGUAAUUUGCUGAGCCUAAUGGGUGUUAGGGUCAGUCCAGCUGAAAGCGAAGAGAGGCUGGGAUGAUGGGUGCAAAGGAAUAGUAAAGAAAACAUGUUUGAGAUCCAGAACAGAAUAAUGGAUUGUGGAGGGAGGUAUUGAGGAUAGGAGAGUAUAUGGGUUUGGCACCAUAGGGUGGAUAGGCAAAACAAUUUGGUUGAUAAGGCAUAGAUCCCGAACUAACUUGGAAGGCUUGUCUGGUUUUAGGACAGGUAUAAUGGGGGAAUUGUAAGGAGAGUUUAUAGGCUUUAAAAGGCCAUGCUGUAGCACGCAAGUGAUAACAGGCUUUAAUCCUUUCAAAGCAUGGUGUGGGAUGAGAUAUUGGCAUUGAGCGGGGUAAGGGUGAUUAGGUUUUAAUGAGAUAGUAAGGGGUGCAUGAUCAGUUACCAAGGAGGGAGUAGAGGUAUCUUAUUCCUGUGGGUUAAGGUGGGGGAAUACAAGAGGAGGACGCAAAGGAGGCUUUGGAUUGGGAAGAAGGGCAGCAAUGAGAUGUAGCUGUAAUCCAGGACUAGUCAGGGAAGCAGAUAAUUUAGUUAAAGUGUCUCGGCCUAAUAAGGGAACUGAGCAGGUGGGGAUAACUAAAAGAGUGCUUAGAAGAGUAUUGUCUCAGUUGGCACCAGAGUUGGGGAGUUUUAAGAGGUUUAGAAGCCUGGCCGUCAAUACCUACAACAGUUACGGAGGCAAGGGAAACAGGCCCUUGAAAAGAAGGUAAUGUGGAGUGGGUAGGCUCCAUAUUGAUUAAGGGGACGGACUUACCUUCCACUGUGAGAGUUACUCGAAGCUCAGCGUCUGUGAUGAUCUAUGGGGCUUUCGAGGUGAUCGGGCAGCGUCAGUCUUCAGCUGCUAAGCCGAGAAGGAGUCAGAGAGCCUUGGGCCAGAAUUCCAGGGGCUCUGGGAGUGCCUGCCAGGCUGGAGGGCAAUGGCGUGGUUUUGCUCACUGCAACCUCCGCCUUCCAGGUUCAAGGAUUCUUCUGCAUCAGCCUUGCAAUUAGCUAGGAAUACAGAUUCUUUCAACCAAAGAGCCAAAAGGACCAGUAAUCACUAGGCCUAAAGGACAGGAGUCUGCUGCUACCCUGGAACAGGAGCAAGCCCCAGCUGCAGCCGUCCCUGCAGGUUAGAAGGCCCAGGAAUUAACUAUAAUACAUGCAGCUGCAACACUUGGGGCUAGAGACUCAGCUACAAAACCCUUGGGAGAUGCUUGCCUUUGUCUGGCCUUGGGCUCCAAGGUAACAUUCUUGAUAUUAAUCACCCAG
rnacentral:lncRNA from 10 species